rnacentral:rRNA from 1 species
CACAAGCGGUGGAGCAGUGUGGUUUAAUUCGAAGCAACGCGAAGAACCUUACCAGGUCUUGACAUCCCCUGACAACCCGAGAGAUCGGGCGUUCCCCUUCGGGGGACAGGGUGACAGGUGGUGCAUGGUUGUCGUCAGCUCGUGUCGUGAGAUGUUGGGUUAAGUCCCGCAACGAGCGCAACCCUCGACCUUAGUUGCCAGCAUUCAGUUGGGCACUCUAAGGUGACUGCCGGCUAAAAGUCGGAGGAAGGUGGGGAUGACGUCAAAUCAUCAUGCCCCUUAUGACCUGGGCUACACACGUGCUACAAUGGGCGGUACAAAGGGUCGCGAACCCGCGAGGGGGAGCCAAUCCCAAAAAGCCGCUCUCAGUUCGGAUUGCAGGCUGCAACUCGCCUGCAUGAAGCCGGAAUCGCUAGUAAUCGCGGAUCAGCAUGCCGCGGUGAAUACGUUCCCGGGCCUU